AUCACAAACGAGCUCCAGCAUGGAGCGAAAGGGAGAGGCUGGAUCUGAUUGCCGUAUGGGGAGAAGAAUCUGUGCAGGCAGAACUCCGAUCCAAAAGAAGAAAUGCAAAUAUAUUUGCCAAAAUCUUACAGGGCAUGUUGGACAGAGGCUGCAACAGGGACACACAGCAGUGCCACGUGAAAGUCAAGGAGCUCAGGCAAGCCUACCAAAAGACAAAGGAGGCAAACGCUCACUCUGGACAGAGACCCAG